AGGAACAACCGCAGUGGUGGCGGCCAGCUCUGGAGCCCUGGGUUCAGCUCCCGCAGUAACUACAGAGCUCUCCGUCUGCAGGGGGCGCUGAUCUGCUCAGCC
rnacentral:pre_miRNA from 1 species